AACGGCCAUACCAUGCUGAAUAUACCGGUUCUCGUUAGAUCACCGAAUCCAUUGGGCCCGGUCAGUACUUGGGUGGAUGACCACCUGGGAACACCGCGUGCUGUUG